ACCUGGGUGGCUCAGUGGGUUAAGCGUCUGACUUCGGCUCAGGUCAUGAUCUGACCUGACCCAGAGUUUGUGGGUUCAAGCCCCGCAUCAGGCU
rnacentral:tRNA from 1 species